UAUUGAAUGGUUAGCUCAGCUUUUGAAAAUAUCGCUGAGCAGAAAUUGUUCGCAUACUUCAGCAAUCAAUGCAGCUGAAAGCAGAGGUAUUUCUUAAAAAUUCCUGUAACCUUGUAAUGAUAAAAUUGUCUGUAACUCAAAUUCCGUUGAAAUGAUUUUUACGAAAUGAUUUAUCUUUAUUGUAAUAUAUCAGGACUGAAAUCAAACGCCCACGUCAUUGGAGUAAGAUUACAACGCGAUGUCUGUCGGUUAAUGGCAAUUAAUUAGCAGAGUGUCCCAGUGACAUCAAGAAAUGAGACAAGUUCUUCAGUACUGACAACCUGAAGAUCCUUCUCUGCUGAUGCAGAACGGUGCUUUGACGGCUUUGGACUUGCCUUAGUAGAAAAGGUUAAAUUUAUCUCUAGAUUUCACUGACCUCAGAAAAACGCAUACAUUUUGAGAGGUAGUGGGUGGGAAAUCAUAACACAGAGGUGUUAAUCUUUUCUUGCAAGGAGGCAGAUGCUGGAGAGGCAAGUUGGUGAAGGGGGUACUCUCUUCUACAUUGCUAUGUGUGUGUCUCCAGCUGCUUUCCUUUCACAUGCUAAACUACUUGUGAUUCUUUCCCAUGUCACACCACCAUGGAU
rnacentral:lncRNA from 1 species